CUCGACCUCAGAUCAGACAAGGCUACCCGCUGAAUUUAAGCAUAUUAAUAAGCGGAGGAAAAGAAACUAACAAGGAUUCCCCCAGUAACGGCGAGUGAAGCGGGAUGAGCUCAAAUUUAAAAUCUCCGUUGCUUGCAACGGCGAAUUGUAGUUUCGAGAAGCGCUUUCUCGGCGGACCGGCCGCGCCUAAGUUGCUUGGAACAGCACGUCAUAGAGGGUGACAACCCCGUCUGUGGCGUGUCCGGCCGCUCACGAUGUGCUUUCGAAGAGUCGGGUUGUUUGGGAAUGCAGCCCAAAAUGGGUGGUAAACUCCAUCUAAAGCUAAAUAUGGGCACGAGACCGAUAGCGAACAAGUACCGUGAGGGAAAGAUGAAAAGGACUUUGGAAAGAGAGUUAAAAAGUACGUGAAACCGUUAAAAGGGAAACGAAUGGAGCUAGCAAUGCACCCUGCGAGAUUCAGCCGGUGGGUGGUUCGGGCGCGCGGUUUGCAGAUCUGAAUUGACUGCGGCCGCGUGGUUUGGGCUCCCCGCCGUCGCACUUCUCGCGGGUGCGCGUCAACAUGGGUUGGGACCGGGUCUUAAAGGCGUCGGCAAGGUAGGUCCGUCCCUCCGGGGUCGGACUGUUUAGGCCGGCGUUCUCGCGGCUCGGGCCCGACCGAGGCGAUUGCAGCACAUGCCUCUUGUGGCUGGUGUCUCGUUCCUCCGGUUGGUUGUCGACCGUGGUGGACUGCUUGCAGUGCACCRCGACUGCUGCCGGUCGCUGGGGCGGUGACUUCGCACGAUGUGCUUGGGAUGUUGGCGGUGAUAUGGCUUUAUCCGACCCGUCUUGAAACACGGACCAAGGAGUCUACCAUAUGCGCGAGUCUUUGGGUGAUUGAAACCCGCGGGCAGAAUGAAAGUGAAGGCGGCCUCGGCCGUCGAGGUGAGAACCUCCCCUUACCGGGGUGGCGCAUCAUCGACCGACCUAUUCUACUCCUAGGAAGGUUUGAGUAAGAGCGCAUUUGCUGGGACCCGAAAGAUGGUGAACUAUGCCUGAAUAGGGUGAAGCCAGAGGAAACUCUGGUGGAGGCUCGUAGCGAUUCUGACGUGCAAAUCGAUCGUCAAAUUUGGGUAUAGGGGCGAAAGACUAAUCGAACUGUCUAGUAGCUGGUUCCCUCCGAAGUUUCCCUCAGGAUAGCAGGAGCUCAUUGCAGUUUUAUCAGGUAAAGCGAAUGAUUAGAGGUCUUAGGGUUAAAACAACCUUAACCUAUUCUCAAACUUUAAAUUGGUAAGAAGUCCGACUUGCUUGAUUGAAGCCGGACGUGGAAUGCGAGUUUCUAGUGGGCCAUUUUUGGUAAGCAGAACUGGCGAUGCGGGAUGAACCGAACGCAGAGUUAAGGUGCCAAAGUCGACGCUCAUCAGACCCCACAAAAGGUGUUGGUUGCUAUAGACAGCAGGACGGUGGCCAUGGAAGUCGGAAUCCGCUAAGGAGUGUGU
rnacentral:rRNA from 1 species